rfam:Neotoma lepida isolate 417 scaffold_765, whole genome shotgun sequence.
AAAAAGGCUCUUUUUAGAGCCACCAAGUCUUCAUAAAAAGAGCUAG